CCAACAGAUUCAAAGGAAAUUCUUACAUUUUGAGAGUUUGUGACUCAGUUCGUUCCCUUCGGUGGAUGUGAGGCUCUCUAUCCGCUCAAAGCCUUGAGAGAGUCGGAAGGUUUCAGCUCAAAGGAAACCAAAGACGUUGAGUGGAAGAAAUCUGAUAAACUUUCACUGUUUUUCUCGAUGACUGAAGGAUGAAUUUUCUUUUGUUUUAAAGAUAACGAAUUGAAAUCCGCUGAACGAGACCGAAAAUACCUGAGAAAGGCUCUCGAACUGAAGGAACGAUUCACUGAAUCAG